CGAAAAGGAAAUCGAUGUGGGGGAGCUACCGCCUGUUGCAGCGAGAUGGCGCUGUUCUGCAUGUUUCACCAGAGCGGUGCUUUCACCGUUUCUUCCUUUUCAGUCGUCUCCAUCUGGAUUUCCGCUUCUUCUUUUUUUUUUUUUUUUCUUUCUCAAACAAAAUAUUUUCAAUUGGAGUUUUUCUUUUAAUUAAUGGAUUACUGGGAGAUAGUUUGAUUUUGGAAUUCUAGACACUUUAAUAUGUUUUUAAAGCAUACAAGAAAAAACAAAAAACAAAACUGGAAUUUAAACAUCGACCAUGAAGGGAAAGGUGCAAAUAUUUGUUUGGCUCUAAAAGAUAAAAGGAGCGCAAUUAUCUUCAGAUAUUUCGUUUUGUUUCGUUUUUUCUUCCUGUCUUUCUUUCCUUUUUUUCUUUCUUUCUUCUUUUCUUUCCUUUUUUCUUCCAUCUUCUUCAUUUUUUCUUUGUUUCUUUUUUACUUUCUUUCUCUUUCUUUACGUCUUUCUUUCUUUCAAAAUAGUUGUUUAUCGAGCUUUAUUGCGACUUUAGGAUAGCCUUUAGAUUAAAAAAAAGUCCUUUUUACUUCUAAUUUAUCUUUUGAAUUUCGAUAAUGAAAUCCUAAAUGAUCAUUACUGUAGCAAUUCUCCUGCAGGACUUCCGCACUGCACGGGCAAGCAUUUAAAGAAACCAACAGAAUUAAAUAUGAUCCAAUAAGUAUACUUUACUUAUAAAGUAUACUUUAUAUGUGUAGUAAUAUCAAACUACAUGUGAUAUUAGUUUUCUUGUAAAUAUGUAAAUGUCCUUUUCAUCCCACUAGCAUAUAUUUUUCUUUUCUUUAUUUAUAUUACAAUUAUUCCUACACUGGAUUUUUUUAAAUCUCUUUCUGCACUUAACAUAAAAUAAGCAUAUUUGGUCUAAACAAUAAACAAAAAUAAAUAAAUGACCAAUUGCCAGAUUAAAACUCCUAUCAUAAAAAUAAAUAAAAAAGAGGGUAAAUUUGAUUCGAUUUGAAAUCAAAUCAAAUUUGAGGUACGUUGAAAAAUUUGUUUCUGUACCAAAAUUGCACAUAUUUUAAACUAAAAAUCAAAUUACUUCCAAAUGUGCUUGCCAUGUAGGUUUUUUUUGGGAGAUUGGAAAGAAGAAGCAGUUGAAUGGAGACAGUUUAUGACGCACAAUGUUGUGGAUUCAGCGAUCAAACUCCCUGCAGCCUUGGUCAGUCCUCUGAACUUUACCACUACAUGUAAACAAGUUGUCAGAGAAUAAUCUUCUCCCCCCCUUUUUUUUCUCUCUUUUUAUUGGAAUGAAAAUUCAAUCUUCCAAGAUCAGAUUAGACGACUUUUUUUUUUUUUCCUUCUACUUCUCCUCUCCUCUCUCCCGGUUCCUUGUCAUCGCUGGGGCUGGACUUUGGUGGACAAUAAUGCGGCAAUUGUCGAUGCUUUGUGACCCAUAAAAUUUGAGGGUGGCUAUUCUGGCUUUGCGAGGGGAGGCACCGUGCAAGCAAAAGCCCCUGCAACUCUGAGCAGAUCGGCGGAAAAAAAAGCAGCUACAAUCAAAAAGAAAAGUGCACGUAUAUGAACAGGUGCCAUUAUGCAGGUAAUUUUGUUAUGAUGUAUGAUGGAGUGUAUUUAAAUCUAACCGCUGUUUGCCCAGAUCACGCAUUAAGGCAUAUUUGCAGAACAAUUUUAGAUGUUGUCCCUUCAAUAAACAAUAUUUUGUGUAAGGCUUCAAAGUGUUUUAAUGUAACAAGAAUUUUGAUUUGGCUUAAUUUGUUUUUAAAGUAAAAGAAAAGGCUGUCUCUGCAAAUUCGAAAGAAAAUAAAUCAACUGACCUCACUCGGAUUUUCGUGUAAAUCGGAGAAUUUGUAACGUAUUUCACUAAAACGUUGUUUUAUUCCGUAAACAUGCAAAAAAUAAAAUAAAAAUAAUGAAUAAAUCUCCAGAUGUGUCCUAUUUGCUGUUGUUUAGUACUAUUUUUCUUGAUGAUUAAUAAAACGCAAUACAUAUCUUGCUGUUGAGGUGUGCAAUACAUUGGAUUUUUCUCUUUUUUUUAACCUUUCCGUGUGCGUGUGUGUGUAUGCACAUAAUAAACACUUGUGCUGCCUGACAGAGGUGCGAAUCUGAGAGCUUUUCCACCAAAUGAAGUGCCAGCAGAAAGAGAAAUAAAGAGAUCUGCAGCUGUCAGGGGUCAGGCAGGGAGAGAUUGCUUCUAGAGAUCUUUUGAAAAAAAUCACACGUUUGAAGGCUUAGAGCUUUGCUGUCUCCGCAUUUCAAGCUCAGAUCAGUG